UGAGCACCUAGCUGUGGAAGGUGAGAUUGUGUUUCACAAGUAGCUAAAAAAUCCUAAUAAGUUUUAUCCAUACAAGAAGAAUAUAAUCUGAAUUUCAAUUCAAAAGUACUAAAAAUCAGUCUUCUUAGUAGCCUUAACCAUACAUAAAUCCCAAUUACCUUAUUACUUUCAUAUUUAAGCAAUUUAGAUUUUUCUUAUAAGCUCUAAUCCUAAUCAAUGAGCUUUAACAAGUUGUAACAUCCAAUCUGACUAUCCACUUGAUGUAAAAUUUUGCAUACAAUUGUCAAUGUAAGUCUUCUAUAUGCUCA
rnacentral:lncRNA from 1 species